CAGUGUGUUUCAAGCCGUGAUCUGGAGUCAAGGUGUUAGUGAUUCCU
rfam:Nomascus leucogenys chromosome 13, whole genome shotgun sequence.